ACGAAUGCAGCUGAAGUGGCUCCGUUUCAGGUUCAGGGGAUGUCGAGGGAUGUUCCGGGUGUGGAUAGCCUUGGGCGUCUGCGCUUGGAUAGGCUCGCGACUUCUCCGCACUCCUGUGGGGAGCCGGCCAACAGCAGUUGCUUCCGGCCCAGAAGGUCGGUCGGGAGGUACCUCUGCACUUGUGUGGAGAACGUAUAGCCGUCCGUCCGGUGGUCUGGGAGCGACUGAGGAGAGACGUGAGUUUUCACGCGUGCAGCGCAGGCCCGUUGGGCCGGGUCGCCUCUGUGCGUUUGGGCACCGCGGUGUGGACUGCGUGCAGUGUUCACUGACGGCGAGCUCGCUCGUGCGGGGGGCCGAUCAUGCCUU
rnacentral:misc_RNA from 1 species